AAACAGUCAAAUCCUAGAGACCAGCCUGUCUUCGCCGUCUGCCGCCCGUCGGAUAUCGUCUCCGCCGGUGGCCAAUCACCACCAAAUUCACUCCCCAGAUUCCUCUCCUUCUCCUCUUUUUAAAUCUCCAAACCCCAUCCCUCGAAUCACACCUAAGCUUCUUGAAUAUUGCUCAAAAGUUCUGAACCCUCCGCCGUGGUCGGCGGCGCUACCACUAACCACCACCAAAAUAAUACCAUGAGACCUCCUUACUCACCUCUUCCCAAAUCCGUAAUCCUUUACCCUCAACAUACCCAGAGCUCCUCGAAUUUUGAAUCUGAGGUUCAAGCCCUAAGAGUUCAGAUUGGAACCUGAACAUGGAAGGUCUUUUUCCAGUAUUCAGG
rnacentral:lncRNA from 1 species